AUUGAACGCUGGCGGCAUGCUUUACACAUGCAAGUCGAACGGUAACAGGCCUUCGGGUGCUGACGAGUGGCGAACGGGUGAGUAAUGCAUCGGAACGUGCCCAAUCGUGGGGGAUAACGUAGCGAAAGUUACGCUAAUACCGCAUAAGCCCUGAGGGGGAAAGUGGGGGACCGCAAGGCCUCACGCGAAUGGAGCGGCCGAUGUCAGAUUAGCUAGUUGGUGGGGUAAAGGCCCACCAAGGCGACGAUCUGUAGCGGGUCUGAGAGGAUGAUCCGCCACACUGGAACUGAGACACGGUCCAGACUCCUACGGGAGGCAGCAGUGGGGAAUUUUGGACAAUGGGCGCAAGCCUGAUCCAGUCAUGCCGCGUGAGUGAAGAAGGCCU
rnacentral:rRNA from 1 species